UGAUUCGUCACACUAUCAUUAACUGAAUCCAUAGGUUAAUGAGGCGAACCGGGGGAACUGAAACAUCUAAGUACCCCGAGGAAAAGAAAUCAACCGAGAUUCCCCCAGUAGCGGCGAGCGAACGGGGAGGAGCCCAGAGCCUGAAUCAGCAUGUGUGUUAGUGGAAGCGUCUGGAAAGGCGCGCGAUACAGGGUGACAGCCCCGUACACAAAAGCGCAUGUGCUGUGAGCUCGAUGAGUAGGGCGGGACACGUGGUAUCCUGUCUGAAUAUGGGGGGACCAUCCUCCAAGGCUAAAUACUCCUGACUGACCGAUAGUGAACCAGUACCGUGAGGGAAAGGCGAAAAGAACCCCGGCGAGGGGAGUGAAAAAGAACCUGAAACCGUGUACGUACAAGCAGUGGGAGC
rnacentral:rRNA from 1 species